GAUGAACGCUGGCGGCGUGCCUAAUACAUGCAAGUCGAGCGAACAGACGAGGAGCUUGCUCCUCUGACGUUAGCGGCGGACGGGUGAGUAACACGUGGAUAACCUACCUAUAAGACUGGGAUAACUUCGGGAAACCGGAGCUAAUACCGGAUAAUAUAUUGAACCGCAUGGUUCAAUAGUGAAAGACGGCUUUGCUGUCACUUAUAGAUGGAUCCGCGCCGCAUUAGCUAGUUGGUAAGGUAACGGCUUACCAAGGCAACGAUGCGUAGCCGACCUGAGAGGAUGAUCGGCCACACUGGAACUGAGACACGGUCCAGACUCCUACGGGAGGCAGCAGUAGGGAAUCUUCCGCAAUGGGCGAAAGCUUGACGGAGCAACGCCGCGUGAGUGAUGAAGGUCUUCGGAUCGUAAAACUCUGUUAUUAGGAAAGAACAAAUGUGUAAGUAACUAUGCACGUCUUGACGGUACCUAAUCAGAAAGCAACGGCUAACUACGUG
rnacentral:rRNA from 1 species